rnacentral:sRNA from 1 species
AGUUAGCCCCGAUGGAAGUGGCAUCCUUUUGAGGAACGAAAAAGAUACAGCGGACAGCGGGACAAAAA